rnacentral:rRNA from 1 species
UACAGAGGGUGCAAACGUUGCUCGGAAUCAUUGGGCGUAAAGCGCACGUAGGCGGUUCGUUAUGUCGGAUGUGAAAGCCCUUGGCUUAACCGAGGAAGUGCAUCCGAAACUGGCGAGCUAGAGUACUAAAGAGGAUCGCGGAAUUCCCGGUGUAGAGGUGAAAUUCGUAGAUAUCGGGAGGAACACCGGUGGCGAAGGCGGUUCUCUGGGCCUGACUGACGCUGAGGAGCGAAAGCGUGGGGAGCAAACAGG